rnacentral:lncRNA from 1 species
UUGCGUGGGAAUGCGGCCCCCCUCGUCACCAGCUGAGUGACUCUGGCCACGUCACCUACCCUCUCUGCGCCCCCUUGCCCUCACCUAGUGGGGAAUAGCGGGGGCGCUGACCUCACUAGGUUGCUAUGAACAUGGGUGACGUAAUGAUUCCUACGACAAUGCCUGGCGCGGACAAAGCACUAUGUGGAUGGUCACUGUUAUGAUGCUGGAUCCUGCUACUUCCCCCUCCUCCUCCCCCAUUCUGUCUUUCAUACUUCUGGAAGGUUCUGAGGCUCCUUCCUGCCCCAUCCACUUAUAUAUAUAUUUUUGCAUCUCUCACAGCCCUCAAGCUCAAAGAGUCUGGCACGAAAUGUGACGACCCAUCGGCCCCCAGACUCCAACACCCCAUCCCUGGGGCCUACUGAUGUGAGGAGCAGGAAAGGUUGAAGGGUGCCUGGUGCCUAGGGAGUCGGGAGCCUGUGGCAAGCAGCUGCUGCCCACUCAGCCCUCUCCGGAGGGUCUCCCUCCUCUGUGUCCUGCCCUGCCACCUCCCGGAGAGAGGGAUCAAGAGGCAAAUCCAGAAACGAGGGACCCAGGGACCUGGCAGAGGCAGCUGCAGGCAUCCCCAGCUCAGACAUUCAAAUUCUUGUGGGUUUUUCUGUGGAUCUUUCCUAGGACUGGGGAAUUUGGCGGGAGAAACCACAGCAGUGUGGUGGCCUCCCCCACCCUCCCCAUAUCCUCUGCUCCUGAGGAUCAGGAAGAAACAAGCCCCUGUGUAUUCUGGAAGAAAGUUCCCCUUCUCCACCCAGCCCGAUGGAGCCAGUACUCUGAGCAGCCCUUCCCCAAUUCAGCAGCUCCGUCUAUGGCAUGGGGUGGGACGUGGAGGGAUUGGCAGGGCCUCGAAGGGAGAAAACCGUCUUGAGAGGUCAUGGGGUCCAUCGUCCUGAGCGGAGGACGUGCUGGCCAGCCCUCAGCUCAUGGAGACGGCUGCUGAAGACCUGCACACACCACCACUAAAUCAUGGUGCCUCCUCCCAAG